ACAAAUUUUCAGCGCGAUCAGUCGAAAAUCGUUGUUAAUCGAAGCUAAACUAAAACUAAGAUUCUCUUGCGAAUCUUUUUAUUACGAACGAAAAAUAAUAAACUUAUUAAGUAUAGUAAUUGUACUCGCGUAGAUCAUUUCGAUAGAGUUAAAAACCUAAACACAGACAGAAUGCCUUCCUUCCAACCGAUCGAGGCCCCCAAGUGCCCGCGCUGCGGCAAGAGUGUCUACGCUGCCGAAGAGCGUCUGGCUGGCGGCUAUGUAUUCCACAAGAACUGCUUCAAGUGCGGAAUGUGCAACAAAUCCCUGGACUCCACCAACUGCACAGAGCACGAGCGUGAGCUCUAUUGCAAGACGUGCCACGGUCGCAAGUUCGGGCCGAAAGGUUACGGUUUCGGCACUGGAGCGGGCACCCUUUCCAUGGACAACGGGUCACAGUUCCUGCGCGAGAACGGCGAUGUUCCGUCUGUAAGAAAUGGAGCCCGCCUGGAACCCAGGGCCAUUGCUCGUGCCCCCGAAGGUGAGGGGUGCCCUCGUUGCGGUGGCUAUGUGUACGCCGCCGAACAGAUGCUUGCCCGCGGACGCAGCUGGCACAAGGAGUGUUUCAAGUGCGGAACCUGCAAGAAGGGUCUGGAUUCGAUCCUGUGCUGCGAGGCUCCGGACAAAAACAUCUACUGCAAGGGCUGCUAUGCCAAGAAGUUUGGACCCAAGGGCUAUGGUUAUGGCCAGGGAGGUGGUGCUCUCCAGUCCGACUGCUAUGCUCAUGACGACGGAGCACCCCAAAUCCGUGCCGCCAUUGAUGUGGACAAGAUCCAGGCCCGUCCGGGUGAGGGUUGCCCGCGUUGCGGUGGCGUAGUCUACGCAGCGGAGCAGAAGCUAUCCAAGGGCCGAGAGUGGCACAAGAAGUGCUUCAACUGCAAGGAUUGCCACAAGACUCUGGACUCGAUCAAUGCCAGCGAUGGUCCCGAUCGGGAUGUGUACUGUCGCACCUGCUACGGCAAAAAGUGGGGGCCCCAUGGCUACGGAUUCGCCUGCGGCUCUGGUUUCCUGCAGACCGAUGGCUUGACCGAGGAUCAGAUUAGCGCCAACAGGCCCUUCUAUAACCCGGACACCACGUCGAUCAAGGCCCGUGAUGGCGAGGGCUGCCCCCGAUGCGGAGGAGCCGUCUUUGCCGCAGAGCAACAGCUGUCUAAGGGUAAGGUGUGGCACAAGAAGUGCUACAACUGCGCCGACUGCCACCGGCCAUUGGACUCAGUCUUGGCCUGCGAUGGACCCGAUGGCGACAUCCACUGCCGUGCCUGCUACGGCAAGCUCUUCGGACCCAAGGGCUUUGGCUACGGCCACGCCCCCACUCUGGUGUCCACCAGUGGCGAGAGCACGAUCCAGUUCCCAGAUGGCCGUCCUCUGGCUGGACCCAAGACCUCGGGCGGCUGCCCGCGAUGCGGUUUCGCUGUGUUCGCCGCCGAACAGAUGAUCAGCAAGACCAGGAUCUGGCACAAGAGGUGCUUCUACUGCUCGGAUUGCCGCAAAUCACUGGACUCGACGAACCUGAACGAUGGACCCGACGGCGACAUCUACUGCCGAGCCUGCUACGGCCGCAAUUUUGGACCCAAGGGAGUGGGCUACGGUCUGGGCGCAGGCGCUUUGACAACUUUCUAAACGAGUUUAUGUAUAUCCAAUCGAAAUCCAAAUCCAUGUCUGUGAAUCGUUCCGAUACUUCUGUCCAAUGACCUAUCUGUUUUAAAUAACUAUCCCUGAAAUUAGCUAACUUAGUCUUCGUUUUGCUUCCAACGAUUUUUGAUCAACGAUGCACUGAAUGCAAUUCAAUUUUCUUUAGGUUAUGUGAGAUUAAGUUUAAUAUAAAAAACAAGAAAAAAGAAUAAAUGCAAAAAAAUCUUGAAAACAUAAAACUUACGACUCAAAGCGAAACUAACCAUCGAUCACAGACUAACGAAUUAAACGACAUUGACCACACCGAGAACAGCCUAAAUUUCUGCAGGUACUGUAACCGCACUAACGAAGGAAGCAACUAUUGCGAGCCAAAGUCGUUAGUUAUUACCUUUUUGUAUCUUAAACUAUUUUCGAAGACCAGCCUAGUAUGUCUUAUGCUCCAAACCGAAAUAUCCAAAAGCAUACUUUGUGCAAAUUGACAAAUUUUAUACACUUACUCUUACGACGAACAAUGAUGAAAGAUGUUGUAUAUUUAGCUGAUUUAGUUCUUACGAUAUACUUAUGAAAUCUGAUUAUUUUUAAUGAUGUUUUAUUGAUUUCUCACCCAUCUAAUCUCUUGCAUUCUGAUUGGGAAGCAAGCCAUGGCAGAUAUAAAAUAUUUAUAUGUCAUCGUACAUGUUCUGCAUACACACACAUAACAUCCAAUAAUAUAUAUGCCCUAGUGGGUUCCAUGAAAACAAAA
rnacentral:misc_RNA from 1 species